rnacentral:lncRNA from 1 species
UUAUCCUCGAUUUUGCUAAGCAUCAAACGAUAUUAUCUUCAAAUUUAAUCCCGGUAUUAACUUUAGUGCGCCGAUUUCGGCGUACUAAAGAUAAUCCGAGAUUAACAAAAAUUUGGCUACGUGCUUGAUUUUGAUCCUACGCACACUAGUGUAGCCAUGAAACGUCAAAGGCGAAAAGCAAAACAACACAAAACAGAGGAAGUUUUUAUUAUUUGCUCCGGUGCUGUUCUCCGUUGUUGCAACUAUUUCUCCGUUAAAAGAUGGAUCUCGAAGCACUAGAACAAUAUCAGCUGCGGCUUAGAGUUUCCCAGUCACAAAGGCCCCGGCCUUCACAAUAAGAAAGUCCCGCUGUGCCUGAACCGAAACUGAAGGUAACCAAAGUGAUGACGAUCACCCUCCGGCAGCUUGCACAGGCAUUGCCAUCUACUGGCCGUCAAGCUGAUCCGUCAACGACAGAGGCUGCCAAGAAGUACCUGCGCAUGGGCCACGAUGUGGUCGAGAAGACCAGCAACAUACACAUUCUGGCCAAGCCGAGAUUUUCUUUUUUAAUGCGUAUUCGUGGUAUCAAAGAAGUUGUCUCCAAAGGUCAACAUUGUUGCUGUUUUUCGACUGCGCCAGAUCCCGACCCGUACAUCACCUACGGAUACCCGAGGCUGGAAUCGGUCCGCCACCUGAUCUACAAGCGCGGAUUCGUGAAGCAGCCGCAUUCCGAUCACCGACAACUUUGUGCUCGAGUGUAAAUUGCAUCCCGACUACAAGAUGCAAUGCGUCGUGGAUCUGGUGUACCAGACCUACACUUCCGGGUCCCCAUUCCACAAGGGCAACAACUUCCUAUGGUCGUUCGAGCUCAACACCCCAAGCGAGGAAUGGCGCAAAAGUUGAUACCAUUAGAUGGACAAAGUUGAGAGAGAGCGAAUCAAA